AUCUCGCUGAGACCUUGAGGCUUUGUUAUCGUCACAUAGAGAAGCAGAGGAGCUCAGAGUCCUUAAAGGUGUUGCAUUCCUUAUUCGACACCACUCAUAUUGAUAACAUGAAGAUUCUGACGGCCUUGAUUCAUCCCAAAUCCCACAUCACUCCAUUGCAAGAUGGGAUGACCAAGAGAAAGGUUCACUUGGAUGUGUUGAGGAGGAAGACAG